GCCAAGCAAAGACGAUUCUUUCAAAACCAAUCCAAUGAAUUUCUUGAGUGAGAGGACUCUCAAGGGUACUUUCUUUGGAAAUUACAAGCCGCGCACUGACCUUCCUUCAGUUGUGGAGAAGUACAUGAACAAGGUAACUUCAAUCCCCAUUAAUCAAUCUCUAUACCGUAGAAUUAUGGUUUCCAUUAGUGCUGAUCGGAAGCAAUCUGUAUAUGAAGUUUCUCAAAAUAUCUAUUUGAAUCAUCAUUAACAGUGACAUUGUUUUAUUUUAAGAACAUUAUCAUAGGCAACAAAGCAGCCAUUCCUCCUCCUUUGGUUUUGAACAUUCUAUCAUCAUGCAAAAACCCUCUUAUCCUAACUAGUUGUUAUAUGUGCAGGAGCUUGAGCUAGAGAAAUUUAUAUCCCAUGAAGUCCCUUUCUCUGAAAUCAACAAGGCUUUCGAGUACAUGCUCGCUAAAGCUAGCCUCAGGUGUAUUAUCCGGAUGGGUGCAUAAAAGAAGAAUCACCUUUGUUGAUUUUCAGGUGUAUUGCCUGAGCUAGCCUCAGGCGUAUUAUGUUCCGGUGGAAAUCAGUUAGAUGAAACAAUAAAAUCCAUGCUUUAGAUUGAUAAUUAAGUAAGCUCUUACCACUACACUUCCUCAUGAGAAUAAAUAAGAUUUUGACGUGUUUUUGUUACUAAAGGUUAUCAUCACGUUCAUCUAUUUCACGAGAAGAAAACAAACACAGGAAAAUUAUAGAGUUGUUAUAAUUAUAAGAUUUUUAUUAUAUCAAAGCAUUGUUCAUAAAAUAUUUUUAGUUAAUGAUCUCUAAAAUACUGGACAUUCAUUAAAGUCAUAAAAACAAGUACAUAGUAUGUUAUUUCUUUUAUAAAAGGAAACAUGUGUUCUCAUAAGUUGAGGUAUAAAGGAUACCUAGAAUUAAUAUGUAGGUGCUUGUCAGAAGACAUGUACAUUAAAUUGAUUGACAUGAAAAUUUUAUAUAGAGAGAUUAUCUAUGUCUAUAGAAAGGCUCAUGUAACGGUUGUGUAUGUGAUCCUUAGACUUGAGAUCACUAAGUCAUUUUAUAUAGAGAAUGUUAUGAUUUGAUCAUGUUACAUGUUAUCUUAAUCGAGGCAACGAAAAUGCAAACAUUGGGUAUAACAUGAAUUAUAUAAAGGUACUUGAGUGAUUAAGAGAACAUUCAUCACCCUGGGUGAAUUAGAAAAAAUAUUUCAUUUGUUCUCAAAUAGUAUUCAUUGAGAAAUCCUUGGUCCAUGUGGAAUGAGAUUUGAAAAGAGUUUCAAAUCUUAUUCAAGCCAUCAAUGAUUAUUAUGUAAAGAACAAACAUGACAGACAUACUAUAUGUUUUAAUGUUAAAUUGAAACAUUAUUGAUGAAAGUAUAUUAAUUACACUAAUAAACCAUCACUGAAAUGUUAUGUCAAACCACUAAUGAUUUUUUUAAUAUUUAAUGGAUCAUAAUAUGUUGUUAAACGAUAUGUCUGAUCUUCAAAUAUAAAUUAAUAAAUUGUUUAAUUGAUAAUAAAUUAAAUUAUUUAAUUUAUUUAAUUCUAUAUAAUUAGAAUUAUAAUUUAUAUUUGAGCCAACAUAUUAGAAACUUAAUGGGUCACACACAUUAAGAAUUAUUAGUCAAAAAUUAAAUUGAGAUGAUUUAAUUAAGUAUGACUUGAUUAAAAUAUAUUUUAAAAAUUAAAAAUUAGAAUAUAAUUAAUACAAGGAUUAUAGUUCUAAACUUAGAAAAAUCAAGUAAGAAAUUGAUUGAGUUAAUUUAUAAAAUUAUCCUUAAUUAAUAUAUAGUUAUUAUUCAGAAGCAAAUUAAUAUUUUACUAAUUUAUAGGGUUUUUUCAGAUUUUCCCUAUAAAUAGUAAGUUAUGCCUCUUAUUUUAUAGAGGUUUUAUGCUAUACAGAAAAACUACUUAAACAUAAAAUUAGAACUAGCACUCUAGCCAUAACAAUUCCUUUCUCCUAAAUAGGGAUUUGAAAUAUUUUUCAUUGAUAGUUUGUGUGAAUUACUGUUAAAGACUAGACAAUUGAAUAACUUAUGGUUUGCGACAACCCAACCUUUAAAGAAUUAUUCAAAGCCGAAAAAGAUCGGAUUUUCAAGUAAUAAAUUUUUAAACAACCCUAGAUUUAUCUAACAGGAUCUUAGGGACUCUCAAAUAAUAUUAUUUUCUAAUUUUUACUACGUGUAUGAUAUUUAGAAACUCAACCUCUGCUACAAGAUUAAUAUGGCUAUUGAUAUCUUCGACAAAUCUGUCUAUACAAAACAAACACAAAAUUCUCUCUCUCUUAAUAUAAGAAAUCAACAACUAGUUAUCAAGCAAACCAAGAAAAUGUUUGGUUGAAACAUGUGUGGUGUGAUUUUCUCUGCUAAUAUUUUGAGCAUGACUACAAUUUCUAGGGCUGAAGAAAGUUUGUUGCAAAUAUUGCUGGCAUACAUAUAAAUGGUGUAAUAAGUUUAACAUUCAUGAUGUGACCCACAAAGGCACUUUUGGUUUGAAUUGGGUAAAAUAUGUUCUCUCAUUCACAAAAUAAUUUUAAUUUUACAUACUAACCUUCAAAAACUUCAUAUGAGAAAUUAUCUUACAAGGUGGAUUGAUGAUUGCAUAUUUUACUUGUUAGAUUAUUAUAUGAUUGAGUUAUGAAGGUGUAUUUAGUCAUGUUUUUGUUAUUUUUAUAUUUCAUAACUCUUUAGCCAUUCAUUAAAAUAUAAUGAAGUUUGGGAAAUAAAUAAAUAUUAUUUGUUGACUUUUUUUAUGAUGCCAACUCCUGAGAAUAUAAAGUGUUAUUUGUUUUUAAAAUUCAAAUUAUAAAUUGUAAUAUUCAAAAACUUAGUUGUAAAGUGAAAAAGAAAUAAAUCAAACCAUAGUAUUCUUAAAGUAAUUUACCUAAAUUUAAAAUGGAAACAAAUUAAGGAAUUUAACCAGAUUUUGAAAGGACUAUUCCCGAACUGAUAAUGAACCCAAAUAUUUUACUAGGUCACACAAAUCAAUUUUAUUUUUACUAUUAUUGAAACUAAGCUUAGACUCCAUUUCACCUAGAUUAUACGUCAACCAGUCAGAUCAGAUCAGAUCAUAUAUUUUUUGAAUUGUAAUUCCCUUUAAUUACAAGUAAAUAAGUCAUGUUAUAUAUUAAUUGGUUAUUUGUAUUUUCAGUGAGGAUUUAUAUUCCUUAUUUUUUAGAAAAAAAUAAAAAUAAAACUUUUGCAAAAUAAACAAAAAAAAAAGUUUCUCACGGCAUUUUAAAUGAGAUGUUUUUUUAAUAUUUCCAGAGAAUUUGCAGAAAAUGGCCGUGUUUUCUCUAUAAAAAACAUUCUUUUGACAGCCUGCACUUCAUUAAAAAAACAAUAAAGGUAAGUGUUUGUCCGGCUGGAUUACAAUAUUCUAAAAGGUCAACUACUUGCCGGCGUUGCCGCUGCAGUGUAAAGGAAACAAACAGCAAAACCACAAAUGGAAAUAAAAAAACUAGAAACGCUAAUUGCAACACAGUCCUUCAAUUAUGGUAGAUAUUUCAAUUAAAUGUCAAACUAUAUACUCAUUAUCAAUUUUUCCAUCAACGAUCAAUCGCUUAAAAAUAAUUUCCAUACCAUGUAAUUUUUCUUUUGAGUGUCAAGAACUACUAGAUAUCGUAAUAUUAAUUGAAAAAAAAACACUACACAAGAGAUUUUUUUUAUCACAAAAUAAAAUAAAACUUCUAGUUAGUUUAAGAAAUUGUAAACUCUGCGAAAUGUUUGUCAAAACUACAAAUCUCUCUCCUUUUUUAUAGAAUUUUUUUUAAUAAAGAAAACCAGUGACAUUUGUACGAUAAAUUUGCAAAAUUGUUUAUUCAGAUAGUAUUAAAAACGUAUAGCAUAGUUUGAGGACAGGUUUGUAGUUAGCCAAAACCAGACACAAAUUAAAUAGAGAAACCAGAAAGCCAGAAACAGGGGGAGCCGUUGUUGCCAACAAGAGAGAAACAGAGGACAAACGAAACAGCAGGAUCGUAAAUGGUUUUCUUUUAAAACAUAUUCAAAUUUAUGGUCAACAGAAUCCAAAAAACAGGAGAGACACGCGUCCUUCUGCAACUAUAAAUACCUACAACGACAACCUGUCUCGUCACAACUCAAUAAACAGAGCAAAGUAAUCAAAGAAGCGUUAAAGAACGGUCCAAAGUUCGUUUAAGACAAAAACAAAUAUGUCAAGCACUACUGGUCAAGUCAUAUGUUGCAAAGGUAACCAAGAAAGCUCAUGAUUCCUUGUGGGGUCUGUGAUAUGUUCUUUGUGCUAUUGUCAUUUUGUGUAUCUGGAUUUCUCAUUUAUGUCUGGCAAUGACUGGAUGCAUUUUGUUUAAUCUGUAGCUGCUGUGGCAUGGGAAGCUGGAAAGCCACUGGUGAUGGAGGAAGUGGAGGUGGCUCCACCUCAAGCCAUGGAGGUUCGUUUGAAGAUCCUCUUUACCUCCCUCUGCCACACUGAUGUUUACUUCUGGGAAGCCAAGGUUAUUCACAUUUUCUAUUGUGAUUAUUAUGUCUGCUCAUUGGUCUUUUUAUAAGUCAUACUAGUAGAGAUUUAUGCUUACGAAAAUGGGCUGUGAAAUUGCAGGGUCAAACCCCAUUGUUUCCUCGAAUUUUUGGUCAUGAAGCAGGAGGGUAUGAAUUUGAACCAUUAGUCCAUUAUUGGUCAUGAUUAGAUGUUGGUUCUGACUGUUGUAAUGGCGAUGAAUUGAGGUGACUAAUUUGAUUUUUUGUCCUCUUGGCUUUUAGGAUUGUUGAGAGUGUUGGGGAGAGCGUGACAGACCUCAAACCCGGUGACCAUGUGCUUCCUGUCUUCACAGGAGAGUGUAAGGAAUGCCGACAUUGCAAAUCAGAAGAGAGUAAUAUGUGCGAUCUUCUUAGGAUUAACACUGACAGGGGUGUGAUGCUGAAUGAUGGCAAGUCAAGGUUUUCGAUCAGAGGACAGCCCAUUUACCAUUUUGUUGGCACCUCAACCUUCAGCGAGUACACUGUGGUUCAUGUUGGCUGUGUUGCCAAGAUCAAUCCUGCUGCUCCUCUUGACAAAGUUUGUGUUCUCAGCUGUGGAAUCUCUACAGGUCGGGAGAAAUGGGGAUUUGAUAAAAAUCAUUGAGUGAGGGGAUUUGUUGCUUUCUUUUAAUGGGGAUUUCUCUUUUGACUUGUAGGUCUUGGUGCCACCUUGAAUGUUGCAAAACCAAAGAAAGGCUCUUCGGUAGCCAUUUUCGGACUGGGAGCUGUAGGCCUCGCAGUAAGUUUGUUUAUACUGGUAGAUUAUUGAUAAUGUUUUCUGUUGAAGCUGCUGGUAGCGCUAAUGCAGAACUUGUUCUUGUUUUUUUUUCCUAAUCCAGGCUGCUGAAGGGGCUCGGAUUGCUGGUGCUUCAAGAAUCAUUGGUGUCGAUUUGAAUUCCAAUAGAUUCGAUGAAGGUGAGAGAAGCUAUAUAUGAUGAUGUUCGUUGUGGCUGCUGCGCAUUUCUCUUAAAUUAUUGAUUGAUGCUUUGCUCAGUCUAAUAGCUAAAAUCACAAAACUGAUAAAUUUAAGUGGACUUGAUGUUGAUUCUUGGUGAUAGUAACUGCUUUCUGAUGUUCAUUUGUCUUUUUUCAACAGCCAAGAAGUUUGGUGUGACUGAGUUUGUGAACCCAAAAGAUCAUAACAAGCCUGUUCAAGAGGUAAGUGACACAGUGAAUCGUGUUCUGAGAGACUAGCAUCGGCGAAUCCUUUAAGUCUGUCCUAAUUUUGAUUUACUGUGCUCAGGUGAUAGCUGAAAUGACCAAUGGAGGAGUUGAUCGAAGUGUCGAGUGUACUGGAAGUGUCAAUGCCAUGAUUUCUGCAUUUGAAUGCGUCCAUGAUGGAUGGGGCGUUGCUGUACUUGUUGGUGUGCCAAACAAAGAUGAUUCUUUCAAAACCCAUCCAAUGAAUGUCCUGAAUGAGAGGACUCUCAAGGGCACCUUCUUCGGGAACUACAAACCGCGCUCCGACCUUCCUUCAGUUGUCGAGAAGUACAUGAACAAGGUAAAUCGGAGCUCCCAUUAAUCUUAUCCGGCCAGCAUGUGUAUUCGACUAGCCUCUGUUGGUAUUUCUUAGGGGGAACCUAAACAUAAAACCGUUCAAAGCAUCAGCUUAAAUGAUCAUCUUUACAUUGCCAACCACUCGAAUUCCUUAUUUUAUUUUGAUUCAAUCUC
rnacentral:lncRNA from 1 species